rnacentral:rRNA from 1 species
UAGCUAGUUGGUAGGGUAAAGCCCUACCAAGGCUGUGAUCGGUAGCCGGCUUGAGAGGGCACACGCCCACACUGGCACUGAAACACGGGCCAGACUCCUACGGGAGGCAGCAGUGGGGAAUCUUGCACAAUGGGGGAAACCUUGAUGCAGCGACGCCGCGUGAGCGAUGAAGCCUUUCGGGGUGUAAAGCUCUUUCGGCAGGAACGAUAAUGACGGUACCUGCAGAAGAAGCUGCGGCUAACUACGUGCCAGCAGCCGCGGUAAUACGUAGGCAGCAAGCGUUGUUCGGAGUUACUGGGCGUAAAGAGUGCGUAGGCGGUCCUCUAAGUUCGGUGUGAAAUCUCCCGGCUCAACUGGGAGGGUGCGCCGAAGACUGGAGGGCUUGAGUGUGGGAGAGGUAAGCGGAAUUCCUGGUGUAGCGGUGAAAUGCGUAGAUAUCAGGAGGAACACCUGCGGUGUAGACGGCUUACUGGACCAUAACUGACGCUGAGGCACGAAAGCGUGGGUAGCAAACAGGAUUAGAUACCCUGGUAGUCCACGCCCU